rnacentral:rRNA from 1 species
AGAGAGAGACAUGCGCGCAUAUCAAUAAGCGGAGGAAAAGAAACUAACUAGGAUUCCCUCAGUAACGGCGAGUGAAGCGGGAAGAGCUCAAAUUUGAAAUCUUCAAGGUUCUACCUUUACGAAUUGUAGUUUAAAGAAGUGUUUUCUGUUGGAGUUUUGGUAAAAGUUCUUUGGAAUAGGACAUCAUAGAGGGUGAGAAUCCCGUAUUUGACCAUUAUUUCCAGCUUUGUGAUACACUUUCAAAGAGUCGGAUUGUUUGGGAAUGCAGUCCAAAAUGGGUGGUAAAUUUCAUCUAAAGCUAAAUAUUGGCGAGAGACCGAUAGCGAACAAGUACCGUGAGGGAAAGAUGAAAAGAACUUUGAAAAGAGAGUUAAACAGUACGUGAAAUUGUCAAAAGGGAAGCGUUUGACACCAGUGUUGUUUUCUCGAAAAUCAAUUAAAAAAGGCAGGAUUUUGUGUUGUAUUGACUUUAUCAGCUUUCUGCACUCUUUUCUUGUCUUUUUUAAUGCACUUUUCGUUUAACAAGUCAACAUCAAUUUCUUUUGUUGUAAAAGGGUCAUUGGAAGGUGGCUUUCUUUUCGGAGAAAGUGUUUAUAGCCUUUGGCCUCUGCAAUCGGAGAGAUUGAGGUCUGCAGCGUAGAUCCUUCGGGGUUAGAUACAUCUGUGCUAAGUUAUAGCCUUUCAUAGACAACUUGUUGACUAUGAUCAGUCAUGUAGCUUACUCGCUUAUGCUAUUUUACCUACGCUUAGGAUGUUGAUGUGAUACUGCGAGCA